GAUGAACGCUGGCGGCGUGCUUAACACAUGCAAGUCGAACGGAAAGGCUCCUGCUUGCAGGGGUACUCGAGUGGCGAACGGGUGAGUAACACGUGGGUGAUCUGCCCUGCACUUCGGGAUAAGCCUGGGAAACUGGGUCUAAUACCGGAUAGGACCACAUUUUGGAUGGUGUGGUGGAAAGUUUUUCGGUGUGGGAUGAGCUCGCGGCCUAUCAGCUUGUUGGUGGGGUAAUGGCCUACCAAGGCGUCGACGGGUAGCCAGCCUGAGAGGGUGUACGGCCACAUUGGGACUGAGAUACGGCCCAGACUCCUACGGGAGGCAGCAGUGGGGAAUAUUGCACAAUGGGCGCAAGCCUGAUGCAGCGACGCCGCGUGGGGGAUGACGGCCUUCGGGUUGUAAACUCCUUUCGCUAGGGACGAAGCGUUUUUGUGACGGUACCUGGAGAAGAAGCACCGGCUAACUACGUG
rnacentral:rRNA from 1 species